AUUAAAUAUAAUUUUUGUUUUAUAUUUAAUUAUUUUAUUUUUAUAUAUGUAAAAUUAAUUUUUAAAUAGGGGGAUUUAUAGCAGUAUAAAAUUUUAAAAAUUAAUAAUAUUAGAUUUAGAAAUUAAAUUGAGUAUGGACUAAAUUUGUGCCAGCAGUAGCGGUUAUACAAAUUAUGCGAAUUAUUUUUUUUUGAAUAAAGAAGUUAAUUAAAAAUGAAUUAAAUAUUAAAUUUAAAUUUAGGGGGUGAAAUUUUAAAUUUUGAAAAAUUUAAUUUAAAUUUAUGAAGCUUGGAAAAUUGGGUAAAACUAGGAUUAGAUACCCUAUUAUGAAAUUGUAAAUUAAAAUGUUUAAUUAUUAAUAGAUAAGAUCUUUAAAAUAAGAAAAUUUGGCGGUAUUUUAUUCUAUUCAGAGGAACCUGUUUUUUAAUUGAUAAUCCACAAUUUAAAAUACUUUUAAUUUAAAUUUAUAUAUCGUUGUUAUUGAAUAUUUUUUUAGAAUUUUAAUAUUCAAAUAAUUUGAUUAGGGGGUAAAUCAGAUCAAGAUAUAGUUAAUUUAAAAGGUAAAAUGGGUUACUAUAAAAUUAUUUUUGGUUAUUUAUUUAAAAAUUGUUAUAAAUAGGAUUUGAAAGUAAUAAUAAAUAAUUUUUUAUUAUGAAAAAGUUUUAAAAUAUGUACAUAUUGCCCGUCACUUUCAUAGAAUAUGAAAUAAGUCGUAACAAAGUAAAUUUACUGGAAAGUGAAUUUAGAGCAAG
rnacentral:ncRNA from 1 species